rnacentral:snRNA from 1 species
GUACUCGCUUCGGUGGUACAUAUACUAAAAAUUGGAACUAUGCAGAGAUUAGCAUGGAGCCUGGGCAAGGAUGACACGCAAAAUCGUGUCAUAUUUUCCGUGCGU